rnacentral:rRNA from 1 species
AUUGAACGCUGGCGGCAGGCCUAACACAUGCAAGUCGAACGGUAACAGGAAGCAGCUUGCUGCUUCGCUGACGAGUGGCGGACGGGUGAGUAAUGUCUGGGAAACUGCCUGAUGGAGGGGGAUAACUACUGGAAACGGUAGCUAAUACCGCAUAACGUCGCAAGACCAAAGAGGGGGACCUUAGGGCCUCUUGCCAUCGGAUGUGCUCAGAUGGGAUUAGCUAGUAGGUGGGGUAACGGCUCACCUAGGCGACGAUCCCUAGCUGGUCUGAGAGGAUGACCAGCCACACUGGAACUGAGACACGGUCCAGACUCCUACGGGAGGCAGCAGUGGGGAAUAUUGCACAAUGGGCGCAAGCCUGAUGCAGCCAUGCCGCGUGUAUGAAGAAGGCCUUCGGGUUGUAAAGUACUUUCAGCGGGGAGGAAGGGAGUAAAGUUAAUACCUUUGCUCAUUGACGUUACCCGCAGAAGAAGCACCGGCUAACUCCGUG